rnacentral:other from 1 species
GUCCCCCUGCUGUGCUCGUGAUCGGUGGGUGCAACUUGGAACCAACGAUAAAUUAUAAGGUAGCUGUUCCUUGCCGGCGAAAUUGCGCCGCCAACUCGCGGAAGAUGGAGACGGCAAUAUGGCGACCACCUGGUACUCGGUUCAAGUUGACCCAUUGAAACGGCAUGAUGCGGGGGGAAU